GAAAACGGUGGUUGGGGGGGGGGACGUACGGAGAGGAAGGGAAGGCGGGCCGGUGGUCAUCUCCUCUCCCCCGCCAGCCACCAGCCGACGCCGCGGAAUCGCCGGCACCAUUGAAGCCGUCGCCGACCUCGUGAGGGUGGCUAGUGGCCAGUAUCUAGAAAAGAGAGGGUACAUGGGAGAGGAGAGGGAUCUGGAUCGGGGGUCGCCGCCAGCCAAUGAUUCUUCCUUUUGUUCUUGAUAACCAUCAUUCGUGUUGAUGCUAAGAAAUCAGCAGAGUCGAACUUUUCGGCAGCGCCUCCAAGGAAGCGAGACAUGGGCUGGAAACGUAGAGGAAGCAGCAGACUGGGGGAAUGGUUGUCGCCACUGGCCACCAGCCACCUCACGAGAUCGCCGGCUACUUCAACGGUGCCGACCUGGGGGCCGGCAGUGGAGAGGAGAUGACCACCAGCCCGUCUUUCUUCUUCCUCUUUCUAAUAAUAAAAUUAGAAAUGCCUUAAAUAUUUAUAGUAAUAGAGUUAUUAUAUGUUAUCUUUGUAAAAAUCUUAAAAUUCAUAACUUUAAUGGGCCUUGAUUAGUUAGGUUUAAUUAAAGACAUAUUGUACUUUUAAUUUAGUAGGUUAUUGUUAUCAAAUUAUAUGUUCUUUUUAUAAUUGUGAAUAAAAUAUUAUCUUUUUUAGUCGUAAAA